UGCAUCGGCCAGGAAUCGAACCUAGCCGUUCGCGUGGCAGACGAGCGUUCUACCACUGAACCACCAAUGG